GGUACCGUGUGCGAUUUCGUACCACCCAUCGUGGCCAACAGCACGUUGUAACCGGCCGCUGACUCGGUUGAAAAAAAUAAUUGACAGAUAUUUGGAAUUGGGUGCCAAGGUCCUCCGUACAGCAUCUGAGGUGAUCUGAUCUCCCGUGUGAUAAAAUAAUACCGUAAAUAGUAACGCGAUAACGUAGCGAGUGCGCGGCAUAUAUACACAGAGAAUUAAAAACGAGUUAAACCAGGUGCAUUUCAAACGUCAACUGCAGCAACGCCAGAAGAAGAAGAAGACGAAGACGAAGAAGAAGAAGAAAAUAAUAAAAAUGGAAGCAAGGAUAAAAAAGGAAAGCUAAGAAGAAGAAAGAGCGGCGAUCGUGUGACGUAACGAGGAAAAUCGCGCCUGAACUGUUUCGCUUAACUUUUGCUUUACAUUACGACUCGGAGAUCGUAAACUGUGUCACUCUGCAGCCGCACCGUCAACCGUUGCAGAUCGAGCUUAUUUUCAAUCAACGUACCGACUCUUUUUCUGACCUUCUUCAAGGUCGUGACGAUGCCCAAGUAACUGGAGGUUAUCAGAGUAACGGGUACCAAGAGACCGAAUAUAAAUAGAAAUGCGAUGUAGCUAUC
rnacentral:lncRNA from 1 species